ACAUUGCUUUACUGGGGUUCAGAUGGGGGCAAUAGCGGCGACGCGGAACCUUUAUAUAGGGGUCGUUGCUUCCGGGUUGGUUUUGUGACGAACUUCCUGUUUGUCUCAGACACAAUCUGGAUGCUAAAGGUAGCGUUUCCGUCGUCUUUGCUAAAUCCUGUUUUACUGUUCUUCAGAUUGUGUACAUCACUGUUGUAGCAGUUCUGACACUUGGGAUCUGUAACAUGAAGGAACAGCGAGAAGUGGGCAAGCAGGGUUUCCCCCAGAAUACUUGCUAAGCCCGGUGUUCGGGGCGCCAAGGCGGUCCACUGUUGGUUCAACUCGGGUGACUAGUGGAUGAAUAUUACUUCUGACUGAGAAGUUGCAGUGAUUUCUAGGGCAGCUCCCUCCACGCCUAUUGGUUACUGAAUCUCAAAUGUUGUUCCCUUCCAAAGUGUCACUUGAUUUCCUAGAUCUGAAUGAAAAUCUACUUUAUUGAUAAACUCUCAACAAUAGAAACAAUAUUAUUUAAUGUAUUGCUCAUGUAGCCAUUUUAACAUAUAGUAAUUGUGGGACUUGGCUAAGGAUUUCCCCAACCCCCUGGUCCCCCCCCCCCUUUUUUUUUUAAUGAAACUCUGUAGAUAUACAGAGGAUGCUUGAAUGAGUCAUGUUCAAUUACUGGUAUCCUUGAAGGCUGCAGCUCAUAUACGGAUACAAACCCCAAUGAAGCUGUUUUUUUUCUGGGGGUUGGGACUGUGUUAUUAUUCCCUGUUGUUUUCUCCCCAAAAUCAAUUUUCUCAGUUUCUAUGACUGUAUACCCCUAAUUGACAACAUCAAAAAAAGCCUCAGGUCUUUGUGAGGACCCAGUCUCCUCGUUCAGCGAGAUAAACUGAGCAUUGUUGACAAGUUCUCAGCAUAGAUUAAAGUGCACUGUAACACUACAUUGUCUCAGCCUGUGGACACCCCAUCAAGGAUGUGUUUCAGGCGACUUGUCCCAGAAGGGAUGUUUCAUAUGAAGCAUUAUGUUCUAAUAUUUCAUACUAGUUCUUUUAUGCAAUGCCUUGAGGGCCUCUGCUGCUCUGAUAGUCAAUGUUUUGAUGUAAGGUGUUAUUUAUCAAAUAUUUCUGUGAUUUUCAUGCACACUUACAUAGGAUGCACUGCAUCUGCAUUUGCAAUGUAUAAACCUCUAAUCAUAUUCUGAAUUUUAUUUCAACUUCCUGGGGCAAAUCAUUCUGCAUCAUCACUUCAUGUGCAGCACCCAUUUAAAACUUGUAAACAUCGUGGCUGGGUGGUUGCUGAUAUUUAACUUUUUUGAAACAUAAGUGAUUAUAGUAUUUUUUUUCUGUAGUUUAUAGCAACAUCAAUAUCAAGAGACCAAGAACACAACCUAGAGGUCAACGAAUGUAGUGACUAGUGUUCCAGCAGCUCUCCCAGGAUGGCAGGGAUAUCUGGACAAAGUUCAUGCAGCAUGCCACAUGUCACAGACUGAGGUAGACUGAAGAAGUCUGUCUUUCACCACCAACAUUUUUGCAGAAGGGGGAUUAUUCGUGAUCUGGCGACUCUUUCCAGAAAGGAUGGAGGAUUUGUCAUUAUCUCCAGGACAACACUUGGGAAUGAUGUCGCC